rnacentral:rRNA from 1 species
UUAAGCGACUAAGCGUACACGGUGGAUGCCCUGGCAGUCAGAGGCGAUGAAGGGCGUGCUAAUCUGCGAUAAGCGCCGGUAAGGUGAUAUGAACCGUUAUAACCGGCGAUACCCGAAUGGGGAAACCCAGUGUGACUCGUCACACUAUCAUUAACUGAAUCCAUAGGUUAAUGAGGCGAACCGGGGGAACUGAAACAUCUAAGUACCCCGAGGAAAAGAAAUCAACCGAGAUUCCCCCAGUAGCGGCGAGCGAACGGGGAGGAGCCCAGAGCCUGAAUCAGCAUGUGUGUUAGUGGAAGCGUCUGGAAAGGCGCGCGAUACAGGGUGACAGCCCCGUACACAAAAGCGCAUGUGCUGUGAGCUCGAUGAGUAGGGCGGGACACGUGGUAUCCUGUCUGAAUAUGGGGGGACCAUCCUCCAAGGCUAAAUACUCCUGACUGACCGAUAGUGAACCAGUACCGUGAGGGAAAGGCGAAAAGAACCCCGGCGAGGGGAGUGAAAAAGAACCUGAAACCGUGUACGUACAAGCAGUGGGAGCACCCUUUGGGUGUGACUGCGUACCUUUUGUAUAAUGGGUCAGCGACUUAUAUUCUGUAGCAAGGUUAACCGAAUAGGGGAGCCGGAGGGAAACCGAGUCUUAAUUGGGCGUUAAGUUGCAGGGUAUAGACCCGAAACCCGGUGAUCUAGCCAUGGGCAGGUUGAAGGUUGGGUAACACUAACUGGAGGACCGAACCGACUAAUGUUGAAAAAUUAGCGGAUGACCUGUGGCUGGGGGUGAAAGGCCAAUCAAACCGGGAGAUAGCUGGUUCUCCCCGAAAGCUAUUUAGGUAGCGCCUCGUGAAUUCAUCUCCGGGGGUAGAGCACUGUUUCGGCUAGGGGGCCAUCCCGGCUUACCAACCCGAUGCAAACUGCGAAUACCGGAGAAUGUUAUCACGGGAGACACACGGCGGGUGCUAACGUCCGUCGUGAAGAGGGAAACAACCCAGACCGCCAGCUAAGGUCCCAAAGUCAUGGUUAAGUGGGAAACGAUGUGGGAAGGCCCAGACAGCCAGGAUGUUGGCUUAGAAGCAGCCAUCAUUUAAAGAAAGCGUAAUAGCUCACUGGUCGAGUCGGCCUGCGCGGAAGAUGUAACGGGGCUAAACCAUGCACCGAAGCUGCGGCAGCGACACUGUGUGUUGUUGGGUAGGGGAGCGUUCUGUAAGCCUGUGAAGGUGUGUCGUGAGGCAUGCUGGAGGUAUCAGAAGUGCGAAUGCUGACAUAAGUAACGAUAAAGCGGGUGAAAAGCCCGCUCGCCGGAAGACCAAGGGUUCCUGUCCAACGUUAAUCGGGGCAGGGUGAGUCGACCCCUAAGGCGAGGCCGAAAGGCGUAGUCGAUGGGAAACGGGUUAAUAUUCCCGUACUUGGUGUUACUGCGAAGGGGGGACGGAGAAGGCUAUGUUGGCCGGGCGACGGUUGUCCCGGUUUAAGCGUGUAGGUGUGUGUUCCAGGUAAAUCCGGUUCACUUUAACACUGAGGCGUGACGACGAGGCACUACGGUGCUGAAGCAACAAAUGCCCUGCUUCCAGGAAAAGCCUCUAAGCAUCAGGUAACAUCAAAUCGUACCCCAAACCGACACAGGUGGUCAGGUAGAGAAUACCAAGGCGCUUGAGAGAACUCGGGUGAAGGAACUAGGCAAAAUGGUGCCGUAACUUCGGGAGAAGGCACGCUGACACGUAGGUGAAGUGAUUUACUCAUGGAGCUGAAGUCAGUCGAAGAUACCAGCUGGCUGCAACUGUUUAUUAAAAACACAGCACUGUGCAAACACGAAAGUGGACGUAUACGGUGUGACGCCUGCCCGGUGCCGGAAGGUUAAUUGAUGGGGUCAGCGCAAGCGAAGCUCCUGAUCGAAGCCCCGGUAAACGGCGGCCGUAACUAUAACGGUCCUAAGGUAGCGAAAUUCCUUGUCGGGUAAGUUCCGACCUGCACGAAUGGCGUAAUGAUGGCCAGGCUGUCUCCACCCGAGACUCAGUGAAAUUGAACUCGCUGUGAAGAUGCAGUGUACCCGCGGCAAGACGGAAAGACCCCGUGAACCUUUACUAUAGCUUGACACUGAACAUUGAGCCUUGAUGUGUAGGAUAGGUGGGAGGCUUUGAAGUGUGGACGCCAGUCUGCAUGGAGCCGACCUUGAAAUACCACCCUUUAAUGUUUGAUGUUCUAACGUGGACCCGUUACCCGGGUUGCGGACAGUGUCUGGUGGGUAGUUUGACUGGGGCGGUCUCCUCCUAAAGAGUAACGGAGGAGCACGAAGGUUGGCUAAUCCUGGUCGGACAUCAGGAGGUUAGUGCAAUGGCAUAAGCCAGCUUGACUGCGAGCGUGACGGCGCGAGCAGGUGCGAAAGCAGGUCAUAGUGAUCCGGUGGUUCUGAAUGGAAGGGCCAUCGCUCAACGGAUAAAAGGUACUCCGGGGAUAACAGGCUGAUACCGCCCAAGAGUUCAUAUCGACGGCGGUGUUUGGCACCUCGAUGUCGGCUCAUCACAUCCUGGGGCUGAAGUAGGUCCCAAGGGUAUGGCUGUUCGCCAUUUAAAGUGGUACGCGAGCUGGGUUUAGAACGUCGUGAGACAGUUCGGUCCCUAUCUGCCGUGGGCGCUGGAGAACUGAGGGGGGCUGCUCCUAGUACGAGAGGACCGGAGUGGACGCAUCACUGGUGUUCGGGUUGUCAUGCCAAUGGCACUGCCCGGUAGCUAAAUGCGGAAGAGAUAAGUGCUGAAAGCAUCUAAGCACGAAACUUGCCCCGAGAUGAGUUCUCCCUGAGACUUAAAGUCUCCUGAAGGAACGUUGAAGACGACGACGUUGAUAGGCCGGGUGUGUAAGCGCAGCGAUGCGUUGAGCUAACCGGUACUAAUGAACCGUGAGGCUUAACCUU